rnacentral:rRNA from 1 species
AUUCUAGAGCUAAUACAUGCAGCUGAGCCCGACUCACGAAGGGCCGUAUUUAUUAGAUAUCAGCCAAUAAGCGUCAGCUAUUGUGGUGACUCAUAGUAACUUAAUCGGAUCGCAUGGGCUCGUCCCGCGACAAACCAUUCAAGUUUCUGCCCCAUCAUGCUUUCGAUGGUAGUGUAUUGGACUACCAUGGCUUUCACGGGUAACGGAGGAUUAGGGUUCGAUUCCGGAGAGGGAGCCUGAGAAACGGCUACCACUUCCACGGAAGGCAGCAGGCGCGUAAAUUACCCAAUCCUGAUUCAGGGAGGUAGUG